AAGCUCAUUGCUUUAGUUCUGGUAGAUGCUGCUUAUUUUUCAAGACGGUUUUAAUAGCUUUAUAUUGAUUUGUAACAAAGCCAGCUUCACUUUGAGAGAACCUAGAUGCUAAUUGUAAAGAAGCUUGGAGUCAUAAUAUAUUUUAACGUAAUAUGUUUGCUGUUCUUCAUCUUUUUAAAUAUGAAGUCUAUCCAUGUUUGUGUUUACAGAGGUCAUGUACACUGUGGUCAACUUUGUGGACGCUGAAGAGGUUUCUGGGGAAAGAUGAUAGAAAUAUAAUGAAGUAACAGUGGAAGUUAAAACAUCAGACUGAUCCAGACACUGAAGAAAUUGAUGUCACUGCAAUCUGGCCAGAAUGAUACAACUAUAUUGAAGUAGCCUAUUGUAAUGAAGCUGCAGAACGUCACAGAGACUCUGAGGACAUCAACACAGAAAAUCUAGGCUCCAAAGAGAUGUCUGUCCAGAUGAGGGUGCAUCAACGUUACCUUUGCUGACAAGUAUAUGCUUUACAAUGUAAAACCUAACAGUUAACUUAACUCAAACCAUUUAAGGAAAUCGGUUGCCUUAAACCAUUAAGUUUUAAAAAACAUACAUUUGAGUACUGUGAACUUAAGUCUUGUGCAAUUAUGCACUUAUAUUUAGGUAGUGUGAACUUAAAUAUAAGUGCUUAACUGCAUGUGACUCAGUUUGUUUAAGUUCACAGUACUCAAAUCUAUGUGUUUUAAAACUUGAAUGGUUUAAUGCAACCGGUUUUCUUAAAUGUGAGAAAUUAGUGUUACAGUGAGAAAUGUUUGAAUAAUUCCAAGACAGAGCUCUGUGAUUGAUUCUACACUGCAAAAAAUCACUUUCUAACACUUUUUAUCUUGUUUUCAGUAGAAAAACUAAAUAUUCUUAAAUCAAGAUGUAUUUUCUUGAUGAGCAAAAUUACCUUAGAAAAUAUGUCUAGUUUUUAGACAAAAAUAUACAAUUUAAGAUAAUUUGUGGUUAAACAAAAAAAAUCUAACAAUGGGGUGAGAAAAUUGUGUUUUAAGUUUUUAAGAAAAAAGAAAACUUAAGAUUUUUUUCUCACACUAUUGGCAGAUAUUUUUGCUUGUUUUAAGCUCAAAUUCACUUAAUGUGUGUGUGUGUAUUUUAUUUAUUUAUUUUGUCUAAAACUAGACUUAUUCUCUUGGGUCAUUUUGUUCCUCAAGAAAAAGCAUUUUAAUUUAAAUAAUAUUUCUACUGAAAACAAGACAAAAAUACUAUGUAAGAAAGUCAUUUUUUGCAGUGUAGGACUGAUUUCUUAAGAGCAAGAUCAAUAUAGUUGUUGUUCAUUUUAUUUAGAUAUUUACUACAUUACAGUGGCAAGCU